rnacentral:rRNA from 1 species
UACGGAGGGUGCGAGCGUUGUCCGGAAUCACUGGGCGUAAAGGGCGCGUAGGCGGCGCGGGAAGUCCGUGGUGAAAGCCCGAGGCUCAGCUUCGGGUCGGCCAUGGAUACUCCUGGGCUCGAGCACUGUAGAGGCAGGUGGAAUUCCGGGUGUAGCGGUGGAAUGCGUAGAGAUCCGGAAGAACACCGGUGGCGAAGGCGGGUCUCUGGGCCGUAACUGACGCUGAGGAGCGGAAGCGUGGGGAGCGAACAGG